rnacentral:rRNA from 1 species
GAUGGGCCCGCGGCGCAUUAGCUAGUUGGUGAGGUAACGGCUCACCAAGGCGACGAUGCGUAGCCGACCUGAGAGGGUGAUCGGCCACACUGGGACUGAGACACGGCCCAGACUCCUACGGGAGGCAGCAGUAGGGAAUCUUCCGCAAUGGACGAAAGUCUGACGGAGCAACGCCGCGUGAGUGAUGAAGGCCUUCGGGUCGUAAAGCUCUGUUAUUAGGGAAGAACAAGUACCGGAGUAACUGCCGGUACCUUGACGGUACCUAACCAGAAAGCCACGGCUAACUACGUGCCAGCAGCCGCGGUAAUACGUAGGUGGCAAGCGUUGUCCGGAGUUAUUGGGCGUAAAGCGCGCGCAGGCGGUUCCUUAAGUCUGAUGUGAAAGCCCCCGGCUCAACCGGGGAGGGUCAUUGGAAACUGGGGAACUUGAGUGCAGAAGAGAAGAGCGGAAUUCCACGUGUAGCGGUGAAAUGCGUAGAGAUGUGGAGG